CCAUGCAAGUUAUAUAUGAAAAAAAAUUUAUUAUAGUUUCAUAGUUCUGUUACUCUACAAAACCUAGAUUUUUCUUAAUCUAGUUUCUUAGACUAAUAUCAUUCUUUAUGCCAUUAUCAUAUUUGAAAUUAAGACAGAAGUGAGGUUUACUGCACUUGCAUUACUAGGUAAUAAUGCUAGAUAGUUCCUGGUGAUUGAACAUGUUCUGUUCUGUGUUAGCAUUUUCAUGAUGUUGUUGACAUGGCAUCACAAGAUAAUUGAUGAUUUCUUUUGGGUUUUUGUACUUGAUAUCAAUUUGGAUCGAACGACUUAUCCUCCAUUUGAUGUUUAUUGCCCAUAUGCGAGAAGAUGCUGAAAGGUCUCACAAAACAAAAGCCUGGCGCAUACUGACUUGGCUCGUGGCCUGGGACUCGAAAGCUUCCAUCAUCAAUCUACCACUUUGGCCGAGGACAUGUUUGGAUGAGCCAAACAAGGCAAGGAAAAGCAGGAUAAGAAUUAAGAGGAAUAGAACAACAAAAAGAGAAGAAAAAGGAGCGGAAAAGGGCACAAUUUGAUGCAGGCACUGCAAAGAUGUUCUCUCCAAGACUUAAUCGAAGCGUGUUAUCCCCUCCAGGAGAAGUUGUUGCCAUUCUUGUUCUGAGGUCCAAUGAAAUUAGGACAUUUCUUGAG